rnacentral:rRNA from 1 species
AAACCGGAGCUAAUACCGAUAAUAUAUUGAACCGCAUGGUUCAUGGUGAAAGACGGUUUUGCUGUCACUUAUAGAUGGAUCCGCGCCGCAUUAGCUAGUUGGUAAGGUAACGGCUUACCAAGGCAACGAUGCGUAGCCGACCUGAGAGGGUGAUCGGCCACACUGGAACUGAGAUACGGUCCAGACUCCUACGGGAGGCAGCAGCCC